GAUGAACGCUAGCGGCAGGCCUAACACAUGCAAGUCGAGGGGUAGAACACUUCGGUGUUUGAGACCGGCGCACGGGUGCGUAACGCGUAUGCAAUCUACCUUAUACAGGGGAAUAGCCCAGAGAACUUUGGAUUAAUGCCCCAUAGCAUUACGACUUGGCAUCAAGAUGUAAUUAAAGUUCCAACGGUAUAAGAUGAGCAUGCGUCCCAUUAGUUAGUUGGUAAGGUAACGGCUUACCAAGACAAUGAUGGGUAGGGGUCCUGAGAGGGAGAUCCCCAACACUGGUACUGAGACACGGACCAGACUCCUACGGGAGGCAGCAGUGAGGAAUAUUGGUAAAUGGGCGCAAGCCUGAACCAGCCAUGCCGCGUGCAGGAAGACGGUCCUAUGGAUUGUAAACUGCUUUUAUACAGGAAGAAACAUCCCGACGUGUCGGGACUUGACGGUACUGUAGGAAUAAGGAUCGGCUAACUCCGUGCCAGCCGCCGCCGUAAUAC
rnacentral:rRNA from 1 species